rnacentral:rRNA from 1 species
CAAUAGCGUAUAUUAAAGUUGUUGCAGUUAAAAAGCUCGUAGUUGGAUUUCUGGUGGGAGCGAUCGGUCUGGCGCUUAGCGCGAGUACUUGCAUCGUCUCCGGCCAUCCUUGGGGAGAGUCUGUCUGGCAUUAGGUUGUCGGGCAGAGGAUCCUCAUCGUUUACUGUGAAAAAAUUAGAGUGUUCAAAGCAGGCUUAUGCCGUUGAAUAUAUUAGCAUGGGAUAACAAGAUAGGACUUUGGUACUAUUUUGUUGGUUUGCGCACCAAAGUAAUGAUUAAUAGGGACAGUUGGGGGUAUUCGUAUUCCGUUGUCAGAGGUGAAAUUCUUGGAUUUACGGAAGACGAACUACUGCGAAAGCAUUUACCAAGGAUGUUUUCAUUAA